ensembl:lncRNA MIR124-2HG MIR124-2 host gene
CCUCUUUUGAAAAAAAGCGAGAGAGAGAGAGAGAGAGAAAGAGAGAGAGAGACUUCGAGCUUGAGAGAGGGAGGGGAGAGGAGAGGAGGGAGAAGGAAAUGACAGAGAGAGAGAGAGAAAGGAGAGAGAGAACGCAGAGGGAGGGAGGCAGGGAGGGAGACCAAACCCCCGCUUUACUGCGUUGAAAGCUUCUGAAUUUCAAGCAGAAAGUAGAAGGAGCUCCAAAGGCAGUGAGCGUCUUUCCUUGGGCUGCGUGUGCCGAGCGUAGACAAUGAAAAUCUUCAUCCCCCUCCCCCAUUCUACUAGGCUACAAGAUUCUUGUUUUCGUUCCUUCUCACCGGUGGAAGAUGUGUAAAAUCAAAGAUGUAGAGGUGUGUAGUGAUUUUUUUAAAAGCCAACUAACCACCGCACGGACUGCGACGCGGAUUACCCGAGCGCACGCCGGCUGGGCGCAUUCUGGGGUCUCUGCGCAAGACCAGCUCUCAGCUCUCUCUCCUUUCCUCGGACUCUGGAGCGGGAGCGGGCCUUUCCCUCGGGUCGACCACGCCGUAGGGGACGCCGUGAAAAGAGCCGUCGCGCCCGCUGCCUCCUGCCCGCUGCGCAGAGGGCUCCGCCCGUAGAGGUCAACUUCCCUCACCCUUUUCUCUCUCCUGCUUGCCCUCCCUCCGCCCGGCCCAGGCGCUUCCAGCCCCAGACUGUGGCCACUGGCUGAGGAGUGCGAGUCGGCUGCGCUGCCCUGAGCCUAAUCCCUCUUCCGGGCCCAGACCCGAGGUCCGCGCUCCUGGGCAGUGGGGAAGCUUUAGUGAGCAGGCUUUUCUCUCCGCAGCAAACUUGUAGCCAGACCAGAUGGGCCGCCCAGCUCUCUCGGGACUAGGCAGGUGCGGAUGAGUUAAUUUUUCCGCAUUACAAAGAAAGAUGACCCAGCCCGCCCUUGGACUCUCUUUUCCCAAAAUCUCCCAACCAAACCCGCGGUAACGUUAUCAAAGGACACAGAGCCCAGGCAUAUCUGUGUGUUUAUCUUACAGGCACACACGCAUGGUUUUCUCUUUUAUAUGCUAGAUUUCAUCCCUGACAGCAGAAAAUGAUUGGCAAUGGUUAUGACGGAGAACAUGCAAUAGCGUGGUCCUUAAAAACCUGCCAUUCCUUACAAGUGCCUUAGAAAGGAUUCAGGGCGAACCAACUGGGUUAAUUGCAUUCAGUAAAAUAACACGAUUACAAAAUUAGAUCUGUACCAGAGGGGUAAUUAACUUGGAUCCACGCCGUCAUUUGAAAACUAGAUUUAUAGGCUUAUGUAUGUUUUUAGGCGUGUGCUGUAAAUGGCAUGGAGAUAUAUGCAUAUGUAUACGCAGGCACACGCACCGUCUACACUUCCACGGAACAGACUAAUUAACAGCGGCUCUGGCAGAUGUGUCAGAGAUGAGCAGAGACAGGAGCUGGGCUUAUGAGUUAUGACUCUAGGGGUAGAGACUCAGAGCGGAGAGAGGGGGAUGGGCAGGGAGAGAAGAGUGGUAAUCGCAGUGGGUCUUAUACUUUCCGGAUCAAGAUUAGAGGCUCUGCUCUC